UUUGAUGGCGACCGGCGCACGGGUGAGUAACACGUAUCCAACCUGCCGAUAACUCGGGGAUAGCCUUUCGAAAGAAAGAUUAAUACCCGAUGGCAUAAUAGAACCGCAUGGUUUGAUUAUUAAAGAAUUUCGGUUAUCGAUGGGGAUGCGUUCCAUUAGGCAGUUGGUGGGGUAACGGCCCACCAAACCUUCGAUGGAUAGGGGUUCUGAGAGGAAGGUCCCCCACAUUGGAACUGAGACACGGUCCAA
rnacentral:rRNA from 1 species